UACGGGGGGAGCAAGCGUUGUUCGGAUUUACUGGGCGUAAAGGGCGCGUAGGCGGUCGUGCCAAGUCACUUGUGAAAUCUCCGGGCUUAACUCGGAACGGUCAAGUGAUACUGUCGGACUAGAGUACAGAAGGGGCAAUCGGAAUUCUUGGUGUAGCGGUGAAAUGCGUAGAGAUGUGGAGGAACACCGAUGGCGAAGGCAGCCCCCUGGGUCAAAACUGACGCUCAUGCACGAAAGCGUGGGGAGCAAACAGG
rnacentral:rRNA from 1 species